rnacentral:rRNA from 1 species
GACGAACGCUGGCGGCGUGCUUAACACAUGCAAGUCGAACGGAAAGGCCCUGCUUUUGUGUGUUGCUCGAGUGGCGAACGGGUGAGUAACACGUGAGUAACCUGCCCUUGACUUUGGGAUAACUUCAGGAAACUAGGGCUAAUACCGGAUAGGAGCUCGUGCUGCAUGGUGGGGGAUGGAAAGUUUGGGCGGUUGGGGAUGGUCUCGCGGCGUAUCAGCUUGUUGGUGGGGUAGUGGCUUACCAAGGCUUUGACGGGUAGCCGGCCUGCGAGGGUGACUGGCCAGAUUGGGACUGAGAUACGGCACAGACCCCUACGGGAGGGAGCAGUGGGGUAUAUUACACAAUGGGCGGAAGCCUGAUGCAGCAACGCCGCGUGGGGGAUAACGGCAUUCGGGUUGUAUACCGCUUUCGCCUGUUACGAAGCGUGAGUGACGGUAAUGGGUAAAGAAGCAACGGCUAACUACGUG